UGUUGACAGUGUGUGUGUCC
rnacentral:miRNA from 1 species